GUUAUAACUGACUUAGCAAAGUCAUGUUAUUUAUUAAUCGAAAAACAGAAGCAGUUAUAUUUUAUUAGUGCUACUAGAAGUCGAGAAAUUAUUCCGACUGCAACGCAGAUUAAAUCUACGGAUUUAAUUUAAGUUAUAUUACAGUUUAUCAAGUUAGCAGGCAAGGAAAAAGAUAUCAAGCAAGAUACAGAAAUGCGAUGAUUAAAAAUCAAAGCCAGUAUUUAUUUACAGUUCACAGAUUACAGGCUAGUUCCCAGCUUGGGGAAAAUCGUCUAAUAUAUUACAAAAGCUGUAGACUCUACGUGGCCUACUCAGCCACCAACUCCACUCAACAUAUAUCUAUGAGACCUACGUACUAGCCAAGUGCACCACUACUCUUUUUCUCACUAACUCCACUCAAAUAUUUAUUUGUUUGGCACCAAAUAAGUGGGCUGUCACCUUUUCCACCGAAAGCCAUGCAUUUCACUUAUUAAAGCACCACCAACUCUCCUCCACUUACUCUCAACUCCAGCAGAGAGCACAACAUUCUCUAUCAUUUUCCUGUCACCAAGAGGUCUCUCCAAAGAGCAGAGAAGCCCCCACUUCGUUCAGCCAAGUUCUCAAGUUCAGUUCCAACCCAUUUAAUACCUUAAGAAAUCGAAGAAGCAAGAGGGAGUAUUCAUUCACUGCUGUGCCAAACUUUAAGUUCAGCCCAAAUCAUUCCAGUUCGUUAAGCUCAACGACAAACAGCCAACCAACAUUCGUUCUCAAGGUAUAAUUCUAUUUCAGAUACCCAUUCCAGAAAGCAUUCAUAUCAAAGCAUGAUCAUGAGUAGUUUCACAAGGAGAUACGACGUAUAAGCAUUUUGAACUUAGUAAACACCCCAACUAUGCUUUCAUGAAUAAGUGACAGUUUAUAUGAAAUUUUAAACGAGCAUAAUUUGAGAUGUAAGCAAAA